rnacentral:rRNA from 1 species
AGAUAGAAAGUUACUUCGGUACAUCGGUGACAGGUGGUGCAUUGGUUGUCGUCAGCUCGUGUCGUGAGAUGUUGGGUUAAGUCCCGCAACGAGCGCAACCCCUAUUGUUAGUUGCCAUCAUUCAGUUGGGCACUCUAGCGAGACUGCCGGUAAUAAACCGGAGGAAGGUGGGAUGACGUCAAAUCAUCAUGCCCCUUAUGACCUGGGCUACACACGUGCUACAAUGGUUGGUACAACGAGUUGCGAGUCGGUGACGGCGAGCUAAUCUCUUAAAGCCAAUCUCAGUUCGGAUUGUAGGCUGCAACUCGCCUACAUGAAGUCGGAAUCGCUAGUAAUCGCGGAUCAGCACGCCGCGGUGAAUACGUUCCCGGGCCUU